UACAGAGGUCUCAAGCGUUGCUCGGAUUCAUUGGGCGUAAAGGGUGCGUAGGAGGCGCUGUAAGUCGGGUGUGAAAUUUCGAGGCUUAACCUCGAAACUGCAUUCGAUACUGCGGUGCUUGAGGACUGGAGAGGAGACUGGAAUUCAUGGUUUAGCAGUGAAAUGCGUAGAGAUCAUGAGGAAGACCAGUGGCGAAGGCGGGUCUCUGGACAGUUCCUGACACUGAGGCACGAAGGCCAGGGGAGCAAACGGG
rnacentral:rRNA from 1 species